UGCCAGCAGCCGCGGUCAUACGAAGGGACCUAGCGUAGUUCGGAGUUACUGGGCUUAAAGAGUUCGUAGGUGGUUGAAAAAGUUAGUGGUGAAAUCCCAGAGCUUAACUCUGGAACUGCCAUUAAAGCUUUUCAGCUAGAGUAUGAUAGAGGUAAGUGGAAUUUCUAGUGUAGAGGUGAAAUUCGUAGAUAUUAGAAAGAAUACCAAUUGCGAAGGCAGCUUUCUGGAUCAUUACUGACACUGAGGAACGAAAGCAUGGGUAGCGAAGAGGAUUAGAUA
rnacentral:rRNA from 1 species